GUGGGGAAUCUUGCGCAAUGGGCGAAAGCCUGACGCAGCCAUGCCGCGUGAAUGAUGAAGGUCUUAGGAUUGUAAAAUUCUUUCACCGGGGACGAUAAUGACGGUACCCGGAGUAGAAGCCCCGGCUAACUUCGUGCCAGCAGCCGCGGUAAUACGAAGGGGGCUAGCGUUGCUCGGAAUUACUGGGCGUAAAGGGCGCGUAGGCGGACAGUUUAGUCAGAGGUGAAAGCCCAGGGCUCAACCUUGGAAUUGCCUUUGAUACUGGCUGUCUUGAGUACGGGAGAGGUGAGUGGAACUCCGAGUGUAGAGGUGAAAUUUGUAGAUAUUCGGAAGAACACCAGUGGCGAAGGCGACUCACUGGCCCGUUACUGACGCUGAGGCGCGAAAGCGUGGGGAGCAAACAGGAUUAGAAACCCCAGUAGUCC
rnacentral:rRNA from 1 species